rnacentral:tRNA from 1 species
AGCGGGGUGGGCCAGUAGUAGGCCGGGGGGCUCAUAAUCCCCAGACGUGGGUGCAAUUCCCACCCCCGCAA